rnacentral:miRNA from 14 species
AUAUAUAUAUAUAUAUAUAUAUAUAUAUGUGUGUGUGUGUGUGUGUGUGUCCCUAUGUACACAUACACAUAUACAAAUGUAUACACAUAUACA